rnacentral:lncRNA from 1 species
UUGCUAUAAUCGGUCUUGGAGCAAUUGGACUGGCGGUAUGCUCCUGCACUGUUUCCAAUCCUUAAAUCUGGAAAAAAGAAAAUUCACAUUGAUAUAUAAUGGGUUUGCUGAAAAAAACAUAAUGAUUGAUAUCUAAUGGUGUAGGUUGCUGAGGGAGCAAGGCUAUGUGGAGCUAAAAGAAUUAUUGGUGUGGAUGUCAACGAGGACAAACAUGAAUUAAGUAAUGAAUUCCUACUUUAAUUAGUUUUGAAACUAUAUUAUUAUGCUUUGAAGAGGAUUUUUUGAUAUUUUAAGACGAGCAUAUGCUUGUUGUGUUAUGAUACCAUUGAUUGAUGGGCUGUUAAGACAAUCUAUAUGGAACGGCAUGUUGUAAAAUUGGGUGUGUUUAUAUUAACUUUAUAAUGCUUUCUAUUUUUCUCACAUAGGCAAAAAAUUUGGAGUCACUGAUUUCGUCAAUUCUCGAAACUGUGGGGAUAAAACUGUGAGCCAGGUACAUUAAAUUAACCAUGAACUUUUGGAGUAUAAUCUUUCCACUCGUCUCUUCAUCCCUAUUAUAUUCUGAGAAAGAAUGCACUCCAUGAAAACAUAAUCUAUAUAUGCUGUAACGUCUAUAUGACUUAUUUGUCCAAUUAGUACAACAUUUGAAAUGAAGUAUAAACAAAAGUUUUAGUUUAGUGUAUUUUCUAUAAAUUUAUUUGUAUCCAUUGCUGGGUAAGUAGAUAUGAAGUUCCUGGCUUGAGCUUAUGCCUCAUAUUGAUCUUGUUAUUUUUUAAAACAUAUUAGUGCUUGUUUAUUAAGUAGAACAUGAAUCUAUAACAUGUGAGGCAGUCAUGGUCUUUGCAUUUGAUAUCGUCACUGGUCCCCUGAAGCUACGAGAAUUUUUUCUCUUUUUUUUUGGUGAGCUUGUUUACAAUAUGGGUGGGGAAACACUACAAGAAAAAAGGUUAUUUCCGACUUAUUUCUAACGGAAAUUUCUGUUGGGAAUUCGGUCAGAAUAAAGCUUAACGGAAUUAAUUCGGUCGAAAAAUUCAUCGGAAAUAAAAGUUAUUUCCGAAUUCCGUCGGAAAUAACUUUUAUUUAAAAAAAAAUUAAAAAUCAAAAUGAGAAAGCAUUAUAAGAAUGAGAGUUCAAUUAGACUGCAGAGAUUUAAUCUCUUCAAAUCCAUAAUUAUACACAUUAUAAUAAUGAGAGUUAGUCCUUCUGUAUUGAAUCAAUAAGCUAAAUCUGAAAGACAGCAACAAGCUGAAAUUGAGAGGAUGGUUUUAUCACUUUACAGAAAAUAAUUAAUAACAAAUUUUAAGUACUCCUUGACCAAUAUCUGCCCACCCUUAGUGAAGGUAUGUAGGUUGAACUUUUGCAAAAAAAAAAUCAGCUACAGUCUGAGAAUUCAAUGGUAUGUUUUGCUGCAUAGAUAGGAAACAUGAGAAAUUGGGAGGAAGUAUAGAUUGGAACAUAAUAUAUAUCUACCAUAUGUAUUUAACUAUAGAAAACAGUAGAAGAGAAUAAACUAAAAAUUAAGAGCUUAGGGACUGUUUGAUAAAAAUUGAAUGAAAUAGUUCUGAAUCUGAAUGAAACUGAAUACUGAAGGAAAAAAGUUGUUUGAUAAUUGGCAUGUCUAAAACAUCUUAUUUUUAUUAUUUUUUCCUAUGAAAAAAAUUCAAAAUUGUUGUAAAUAUAUUUAAUAUAAUAGUUAAUAUUGUAAAAAAAAAAUACUUCAUUCAGCAACCCAUUCAACAAAAAAAAUGACACUAAACCAUUUAGCCCAAAUCGUCUGAAUGACUGAUCGAUUCAACCAGUCAGAAGAUUUUUUUUCAAAAAAAACGCUCAUUCAGUGCUAAUCAAACAACCCGUUAGACUUGUUUAUUCUCUGCAUUUGUAAGGAAGCUAUAGUAGCUCAGGCUCAACUUAACUUGGCCUUUUUUUUUAAUUAGUUACAAGUAAAGAAGAAAAUCGCCAUAGGGGUUUAAAUUAGCUUUUCAUUUUUUAUAGAUCAAGUAGUUGUAAAACUCAAGAAUCAUGAACUCUGAUAGCUAGGCAAGCUAAUGAAUAUAACACUGACAAUUUGGUUUCACUGAGAUAUACUUUUGGUUUUUGUAAAGAAGAAUAUCUACUUAAAGAAUAACUUAACCUCCUUUUCCUUUUAAUCUCAAAUUCUCUUGGCAAAAUACUAGAGACUCAAUUUCAUUCUAAGGAAUUGAAUCAGAAACACAGAAUUUAAGAACCUAUUAUGAAAAUUCAAAUUUUCAUUUUCCUUUCUCAUUAAUCACUUAUCAUAUUCACGUAGUAUGAUGUAUCAACCAAAAACACACCAAAUGAAGCAUAGAAACAAUAAAUCAAGCAGAUAAAGUGUCAAAGGAGCUCACCUCAUUGACGAAGUUGAGAACAAUUCAUGCAAAUUUUAGAAGGAUGAAGUUAAAUUAUGUAAUUGAAAUUGUUAAGUGUAUCGCUAGAAGUAGUAAUUGUUAGGUUUGCAAGAUUCAUGAACACAAUCAAAUUGCACAAAAUAAGCGGAAGCAUGGAAAAUCAGAGUUUUAAAUAUUUUACAAACCAUAUACCCGGAUCUUCCUUUAUGCACAAUUAUUAAUUAAACGAAAAAAAUGAAGAACAAGAGUUUCCUCAGGUACAAGUUCACCUCCAAUCUUUUUCGCGUUCAACUUGAAUCCACCUGGUUUGAUUCCUUCCUUUAAUCAACGUUAGCCACCCAAGUGUUUGGCCUCUAGAGGUGAUUCACCAAGGAAGAAGAAAAAUUCAAUAAGAUGGGUGUUUGGCAAAAUCUUAGUUUUUCUGUCUCUCAUAGAAAAUGUGUACUCUCCCAACUCUUGGAAUUACGUCCGUUGUGAAAGCGUACCCUCACCCAUAAUAAGACUUCUCUUAUUUAUAGAUGUAGGCAUCCCUCCUUAACAAUUAAGGAAUUGAGUUUUAUUUUAAUUAAUUAAAGUUCUUUAAUUAAUUAGGCUCCCAAUCUUAUUAGGAAUAAUUAAUUAAACUCUUUUAAUAAAUUAGCCUCAUAAUCUUAUUAGGAAUAUAUGAGAGUACAUUUAUUAAUUAAUUCCCAAACUCUUUUAGGAAUUAAAUAAUAAUAAUAGUAAUAAUAAUAAUAAGACUCCUCUUAUUAAUUUAUUUUUAAUAUUUCUAAAAUAUUAAAUAAUAAAUAUUAAGCUAUUUAAUUUAUUCUAUCACCAUAGAUUAAAUUAAAUACACUUAACUUAUUAUUACGAUUAUGUUAUUUACUUCUUAAAUAAAUAUUCUUCCUUUAAUGGUGUGACCCUUUAGGUUCUCCAUAUUAAACCGGUUGUGAAUAAAUCAAUUAGAACAAUUCUAAUCUUAUUUAAAUAAAUAAAUUAAACUAUUAAUUUAUUUAAAUAAAUAAUAUUUAUUCUACAAUAGGGAUAAGCCUCCCUAGCGAUUAACGACUUUCCAGAUAAUAUAGAUUUCAACAUUAAUCAUAAAAGAACCUUUGAGUAAAUAGUUACCGUACAAUUCAAUCCUUCCACCAUACAAUGUCCCAAUUAAAUAUAAGACAUGGAAUUACUGUCAAGUCUUAUUUUAUUUAAUUAUAUGUAUUUCGAUUCUUAAAUGCAUAACUCCAAAUAAUCCAAAUUAAAAACUCCUUUCUAAUUUUAUUCUGCCUUGGUCAAGGAUUACUGGGUUGUCAUUUAUCGAAUCACAUAUGACAUUUCUCUUCUUUUACUAGAAGCGGUAGAUUUUUUAUUGAUCAUACAUUAUCUCCAUGUACAACUUAUUAUACCCAAGCAUACCCUUUGAUAUAUCCUAAGGGUCUUAAGGAAUAAGUCAAAGUAUAAUUCAUCAUACACAAGAUAUUAUAAUGAUCUCAAAUCCAAUAAUCACUUGUACUACUAUCACUACAGGAAUUCCUAUUGAUAGGCAAGUAAAACUCCAUUAGAUAUUCCUUAGCGAGCUACGUUCAGUGUACUUAUUCUCCAAUAAGCACCUACAUACUUGUUUUAGUGUCUCCACACAAAUGAUCAUGAGAUCAAUCAUCCUCAUCCAAUAAGCAAGCAACGUAUGUACCAAUCUAUCCGGAUUCACUAAUUCCCAAUUUAGUAAUUCAAACGACUGAGAACUAUUUUAGUUUUUAAGUUUUCUAAGAAUUUAGAUCUUAUUAGAAUGAUCAUUAUCAUUAUUCUAAAAGCAUUGCUUCAAACUAUGAAUUUAUCACAUAUUAUAAAGCAACAUCAUGUAGAUAAUUAAAAACCUUUAAUAAAUUAAUACUUUUUAUUAAUAAAUGAAUAAGAUUGUUACAAAGUAUAUGCUUUAUCAUCAAACAUGGCUUGUGUGCAUACUACUUUCAGUAAUAAGCCUAUAGAAUCAGAUAGAGAAAGAGGGGGACAUAACUUGAUAAAUUAAGGACAGUUUGACCAGCCAACAAGUUGCAGCGAAAUAAUCCUUCAAUUGAUGAUAAAGUAUUAAAUUCAAAAGGUGCAAAUAAAGAUUCAUAAAGAUAAAGUGUAAUAUCUAAUGUAACAUGUAUCUCCUAUAGCUUUGUUGCCUACAAUGAGAAAACAUUUAGCCUCACACCUUAUGCUGAGCAGCUGGCUGGUGUAAUUGCUGAUUGCCCCUGCGACACACCUUCCACUUACGCCAUCAUGACAUUGAUGCAAAUGAGUUAACUGUAUUAAGUUUGACAAUUAAAAAUAACAUUCAUGAAAAGUGGAACACACAUUAAAACUGCAUGAGAACGAAAUUAAACAAUAAAUUAAUGUAUGAACACCCAAAUUAACGUCACAAAUUAAUGUCUGAACACCCAAAUUAAACAAUCUACAAAUCAACGAAUUAUUACUUCUUAUUAACCACACACUAUCAAAUAAAGCUUAAAUUUGUAUACAUGAGCAGACAAGUAAUUUACCUGAUCAACAACUAUAGGCAGAGAAUCAAUCUCUGAACCAGUUGAAUUGGUUGUUGGCAUUUCCCCCUUUUCAUGCUCAUCUUUUUCCUAGUCAUGUUUAUCAUAAAGUUCCAAUUUCAAUCACACUGCAAAUAUAUGUGUCAAUGUAUAUAUAUUCACACACCCAAUAACAUAAACAAGCAUGAAGACCUUAUCAUCAUUGCUAUCUACCUCAGUCUCUGUCUCAGUCCCUCUGCAUAUAAACUUUUGACUUUCUCCUAAACACUAACCUAGAACUGAAGAGAGAGAUAAAUACAAAUAAGUAAAAAUGGCAGAAUUAAAAAAGAAUACACAUUAAUUUAUACAAUUGAAAUUACCAUGAAAUUUGAUUUCUCUGCAAAUUGCGCUAUUUUUGACGAGAACAAGUGGAAGACAUGCUCAAUCCAAUCAAUUAAUAUAUAAACACCCAAAUUAAAACUUGCUUCCUUCGGAGUUGAUAUCGAGAAUUAAAAAGCAAAAUAUUCAAUCCAGUUGACAUACAUCAAACAACAAUAAUAUAUAUAAGAAAACAAGUUAUCAAUAAAUUUAUGAGACAGAGAAAUUAAUGGAUUAUCAUUAAUUUAUAAGACUAAUAAACUUGAUUUCUAGGGCAUGUUUGUAGCAGCCGGUGCCUUUAGCAUAAUUGCGUUCUUUGUCGGCUUUGGAUCCUUUCGCCAUCAACUCUUUUGGCUACAGCGAUUUCUCGCUUUUGUUGCAAGAUGACUCUACUCCUCCUAAAGCCUUCGAUUUGAUGGUUGCUUCUACAAAAACUUUGGUUUAUUUGAGAUUAGGGGCUAGGGUUUCUGAUUUCGUUACUUCGUUGGCCAUCGAUAUAGCCUCAAGUUUUCAAAAUUAGGUAUAGAGUGAAAUAAUAGGGAGGAGAGGGCUGAGGAGGAAGAGGGUUGUGAGUGAGAGGAGAGGAGAGGAGAGGGAGAGGGUUGUGAGAGAAUGGUGAGGUCUCGAAGUUUUCUUUUAAUCCGCUUUUUUCUUUUAAUCCGCUCUGCUACUUCUCUGCUCCUAAGUAAUUUAAAUUGCGC